rnacentral:lncRNA from 1 species
UCGUCCUGUAUCUAUUAAUAUUAAAUAUUUUCGUUGUUCCAUUAUUCCUGUUAUGUAAUAAUGAUGUGGUUUUAUAUCAUCUUCCAUUGAUUUUUGUGGGGUUUUAUCUAUUCUUCUUGAGGUACUCAUUUUUGAUGAUAUUUGUGGUAUUUCAUAGUUUAUUCUUUUUGAUGUGCUUAAUCUUUCUUUUACUAUUUCUAAAUCUUCUUCUAUAUCAAUCUCAUUAUAACUAUAAUCAUUAUUAUCUAUGACUGUAACUAUCCUUUCAAAAGGAUUUUCUAUUUUUAUUUUUUUUAUUUUAUUUUUUGCUGUUAUUUUAUGUUUUGUU